rfam:Myotis davidii contig222537, whole genome shotgun sequence.
GGUGGUUCUUGGGUAAUGCACCCUGAAUCACGUUCCCUCCUCUCUGGUUCCUGGAAUGCCUCACCUGAGAACCACA